UCCUGGAUAAUGUCUCUUCAUUCUUCAGAACUUUUUGAUUCAUUUUUUAGAAGCAAUUCCUUCCUAAUUAUUGUGACUGUCAGAACUCAUCUAAUUUUUUUUUUUUUUUUUUUGUGAGACGGAAUCUCGCUUUGUUGCCUAGUCUGGAGUGCAGAGGCAGGAUCUCGGCUCACUGCAAGCUCUGCCUCCUGGAUUCACGCCAUUCUGCUGCCUCAGCCUUCCAAGUAGCUGGGACUACAGGAGCCCACCACCACGCCUGGCUAAUUUAUUUUAUUUUAUUUUAUUUUUUUAUUUUAUUUUUUUGUAUUUUUAGUACAGACGGGGUUUCACUGUGUUAGUGAGGAUGGUCUCAAUCUCUUGACCUCGUGAUCUGCCCACGUCGGCCUCCCAAAGUGCUGGGAUUAUAGGCGUGAGCCACCGUGCCUGGCCAAAACUCGUCUAUUAUAGGCUCUCAAAGUACCUAUGAGAGGUAUAUUACCUCUUCAUAGCAUCAAUAAUUAUUGAUGAAUUAUUUCAUUCAAUAAAUAUUUACCAUGUGCUCUCCAUUUAUCUAGGCAACUCAUAGUUUCCUUUCUAGUAGAGGAAAAGAUGUUAUUAACAAGUAAGUAAAUAUACAUGCAGACAUAUAAAUGCAUAUAUAUGUAUAUAAAAAUAUAUAUACAUACAAAUGUCACGUGGUAAUAUGUGCUAUGAAUGCAAUUUAGGAGAGGAAAUGAGAUUGAUUAGGAAUACCUGUAAGGUGAGAAGGUAAGGAAGAUUGCUGGAAUUUUAAAAGAGUAGUUAGGGGAAACCUAGCUGAGAAGAUGACACUGGAAAUAAGACAUGUAAGAAGCAAGGAGGGAAGCCACAUGGAUACCUUGGAAAUAGCCUACCUGGCAAAGGGAAUUAACAAAUAUGAAGACCUCGUGACAAGAAUGGGUCUGGAAUUUUCAGGGUCCAGAAAGAACCCAUUGUAUCUGAAGUGCAGUGAGUAACAGAAUAGCAAAAAAUAUGGUUAAAAAUGAGGCAAGAUUGUGUAGUGCCAUGUUAAAGACUUUGACUUAUACUCAGUGUGAGAAAGGAAAUCUUUGGAGGGUCUGAUUAGAAGAAGACAUAAUCUGAUGUAUAUUAUGAAAGGACAGCCUUGGCUACUGUGUUAAGAAUAGACUAUAGAAGGUUAAGGGGAAAAGAGGGAGACCAGCUUGGGGAAGCUAAUUCUGUAAUCCAAGUGAAAAAAGAUAGUGGAAAUAGGAUGUUAGCAGUGGAAGUUUUAGAAAACAAAAAGAGGUUGAGUUCUGCAUAUAAUUUGAAAAAGAGGCAACAGGAUUUGUAGACAAAUCAGGAUUUACGUAUGUAAAGAAGAGAAUAAUUGAUAAUGACUUUAGGUUUUUGACACGGAUAACUAUAAAAACGCAGUUGCCAUCUACUGAGAUGGGGAAGACUAAAUUUUGUUUAUGGACAUACACAAUUUAAGCUGCUUCUAACACACCCAAGUGAAGAUAUCAAGUAUACAACUGAAUAUAUGGACUUAGAGUCAAAGGUACAUUUAUAAACUGGAGAUACAGAUGGUAUUUAAAAAUAAUGAGCCUAGAUGAGAUUAUUACAGAAGUGAUUGUGGAUAUAUACAAGAGAGGAAGGUCAAAGUCAGACCUGGGGCUCACCUACAACAGUUGUACUUUCACCCUCCCUAUAAUCAUUACAUGGUUACUGCCCAUCUGCCCUAUUGAACAAAGUAGAGAAUAAGUGGAAACCCAAGGAUAAGUUCUGCAAGUGAAUUAUUUCAGUUCCUCCUUUUCCUGGUAACCCAUAUUCCUUUAACUAUUAGUUACCCAAAUCUUUACCCUUUGUCCACAGGUGGUAAACUAUUCAUCCCCCUCAAUUUAUCCCCUCUCCACUGCAUGUAAAAGCGUGUAGUUGUUUAUUUAUGUUUAUCCAUACACAACAUUCUGAUGCAAUAUUUACACUGUACAUGACAAUAUUUUUCUCCUAACGCAUAUAUAAAUACAUGAGUUAAAAGUUUGAUGCUGACCGUAAUUUGUGUAUUUAAAAAAUUAAGCACAAUUCUACUAACAUUUGUAUAACACAAUCUACCUGUCCUUAUAUUCUUUGUUGGUAAUUCCAUUAAAGGAGAUGAGAUUAUUAUUGCUAUUUAACAUCUCCGGGCACUGAAAUGUUUGAACAGAAAAGUGAGUAGAUGUUAAAAACUACAAAUUGAGAAUUGAGAUUAAUUUGGGUGUACUCCCAAUCACAAGAAAGGGAUAAUAUGAUUUUCAGUUUUGCCUAAACUUUCCUUUACAAGGGAAGAAGUUGGUUCAUGACUAUUGAAAUAUUCGAAUGCAGUGUUUUCACUAAUUACUGUUCUUGUUCUUUACAGAGUUCUAGACUUUACAGAGUUUAUUGUAAACAUUUUCACUAAUAGCCAAAAUGCAUUCCAGGGGGAAUGGUCAAAACUAAAUCCUGCAUACAUGAGCUUGCUUCCACUUCGGUAUAUAGGGGGUUAGAGAGUAUCACUACCAACUUUACAAUGAAACAACCUAGACAAACAGCAAAUUCAUGACUUUUCUUGAGUCUAUGAGAGUGCUGAUGUCACAUGACACCAACUGGCCCCAAACCUAAGAAAAGGCAUCUACAAAAAGAAGAGACAUGUUGUAUCCCAACUUACCAAGAAAAGCCGAUGUACCUAAACAUCGGCUCUAAUUGAAAAGAGGAACAACAUGCAAGACCUGAUUGGCAACUUCGGCAGAGAGAUGGAGAUGAUGAGGAAAGCUCAAAUAGGAAUAUUAGAAAUGAAACACACAGUAACAGAUUAAGAAUGCCUUCAGUGACGCAGCUGAGGAAAGAAGAAUCCACGACCAUGAAGAAAUGUCUCUAGAAAUCCCCCAAACUGAAAUAGGAUGGGGAAAAGAAGAGAAAAUCCAGUACACAAAAGUAUCAUUUUCAGGCAGAGUCUCACUCUCAGUGACAACAUGGUCAACAGCAGUUCCAGUCAUACCAUAUUUCAGUUGCAACUCAGCAAAAGGUUUCUGAGAGAGAGAGAAAAAAAAAAUCCUCAUUUGGCUCAUCAUAAAUGUUUUACCUAUCCCUGAAUCACUGAUCCAAGGAGACAGAAUGCAGUCUUCAAGCAGGACAGGUGAGGGGAAUAUGCUCACUCCCUCCCCACAGAGCUAGGGGUGUGAAACCAGCCCACCUGACCCAACAGAACUGGCAAGAGAGGAUGGCCAGUGUAUAGAGAAAAAGUAGAGAGUUGUUACCACAAUAAGGAGGAGUAUAUGCAGGGCAGGCAAUCACAGUAACUGUCCACUACAUGAGGAAAUAGAAACUCACAAUGUGCCUGGCACUUAAAUUUCUUUUAAAAAAUUUAAUUUUUUAUUUUUUAUUAUUUUAUUAUUUUUUAAUUUAUUAAGUAGAGAAAGAGGAAGUAACUACACAGCAACUGGAGCCUAUGAUAUUGUUGGAGAAACAAAGCAGUAUUCUCAAGUGUUUGAAUCUAUACUCUAAUUGUUGCCCAACAUGUCAGUAUUUAACAUAGAAAAAAAUAACUAAAAGAAGAUGUUUGCUUUAUAAAGAUAUGGCUUAUAUUUGGCUCUUGUGAACACAUGAAGGUUGUUCCCUCUUGCUUUCCAAUUGAGAAUAGAGAAAAUAACUGUAUAAUCUAAGAUAAUUUGGCCUUUUAUAUUAAUAUAGACAAAUGGAUUAUAAAUGUAUGAAUACAAAUAAAACAUCUAAAAUAGGUAAUGCAAAGAAAGAAUAAUUUAUUGAAUUCUGAGUUACGUUUCUCUUUAUAUUCAAACAGUUAAGAGACUUUUUUUGGAUUAAAAUAGGCAGAACUUUGUUACAGAUAACAUGAAAAGUUUGAUCCAAUGGACAUUAUCAUGAAAUCUAUGAAGUAUAACAUUUAAAUAUACCUGUAAGAAAUUCAUGGUUUCUUUUGUUUGUGAUAAUGAA
rnacentral:lncRNA from 1 species